UACGUAGGGAGCGAGCGUUGUCCGGAUUUACUGGGUGUAAAGGGUGCGUAGGCGGCUAUGCAAGUCAGUAGUGAAAUCCAUGGGCUUAACCCAUGAACUGCUAUUGAAACUGCACAGCUUGAGUGAAGUAGAGGUGGGCGGAAUUCCCGGUGUAGCGGUGAAAUGCGUAGAGAUCGGGAGGAACACCAGUGGCGAAGGCGGCCUACUGGGCUUUAACUGACGCUGAGGCACGAAAGCGUGGGUAGCAAACAGG
rnacentral:rRNA from 1 species